UUAUCCCCCUUUAUCCUAGCUGAAACCGUCGCACAAGAAUAGCUCCAGCUCAUGUAGAGUUUCAUUUCAAUUUUACUUCUCAAAGCUGAACAUAAUCACUUGACUUUAAUUAAAGUCGGUCACCACUCCAAGAGGGAAAUUAAAUAAUUCCCUUGCUGAUUUUGCUGCAUAUUCGGUCUGCUGUAAUUUAAUUGGACCGAAUUUUCUUAUUUGUCCAAUGCCAAUUUAAUUUCUUCAAAACCAUCAAAUGAUCAUCCCCAUCUAAUAGCUUUAAUCAUGCGGAUUAACUUCCAAAAUUGAGCUUAUACGGGCAUCAAAAUGUUCCUUACCUGCACAUGAAAUAAAAUUAAAAUUAAAUUGUUGAAUUGGGGUACAAUUAAAUUAAUACGGCAUAGAAUGUAUUUAAUCAAUUUAGGCAGAAUUAUAACUUAAUUAACCAACAAUUAAUCAACAAUUUAAUAAUUUAAUUGAAUAAGUUAAGCUCAAAAUUAAACUUAACAAACUCCCCCAUACUUAAAUUAUUGAUCGUCCCUGAGCAAUCAAGUCAAAAAGAACCAAGAAGAAUUUCAGAAAUGUCAAGAUUAAUCAAGAGUUGUUGCAUCGCUCAUGCUUGGGAUGAAUUUUUGAAAUCCAUCAAUUUAGAUUUUGGUUUAU
rnacentral:lncRNA from 1 species